GACGAACGCUGGCGGCGUGCUUAACACAUGCAAGUCGAACGGAAAGGCCCUGCUUUUGUGGGGUGCUCGAGUGGUGAACGGGUGAGUAACACGUGAGUAACCUGCCCUUGACUUUGGGAUAACUUCAGGAAACUGGGGCUAAUACCGGAUAGGAGCUCCUGCUGCAUGGUGGGGGUUGGAAAGUUUCGGCGGUUGGGGAUGGACUCGCGGCUUAUCAGCUUGUUGGUGGGGUAGUGGCUUACCAAGGCUUUGACGGGUAGCCGGCCUGAGAGGGUGACCGGCCACAUUGGGACUGAGAUACGGCCCAGACUCCUACGGGAGGCAGCAGUGGGGAAUAUUGCACAAUGGGCGGAAGCCUGAUGCAGCAACGCCGCGUGCGGGAUGACGGCCUUCGGGUUGUAAACCGCUUUCGCCUGUGACGAGGCGUGAGUGACGGUAAUGGGUAAAGAAGCACCGGCUAACUACGUG
rnacentral:rRNA from 1 species